rnacentral:rRNA from 1 species
GGGGGGGGGGGGGGGGGGGGGGGGGGCGGGGGGGUCGGGCGGGGGGGCCCGGCGGGUGGGGGGUGAUGGGGGGGGGCACGGGUGAGUGGCGCGUGAGUCACCUGCGCUUGACUUUGGGAUAACUUCCUGAGACUUGGGCGAAUCCCGGCUGGGAGCCCCUGCUUCCUGUUGGGGGUUGUAACGUUGCGGCGGUUGGGGAUGUACUCGCGGCUUCUCAGCUUGUUGGUGGGGUAGUUGCUUACCAAGGCUUUGACGGGUAGCCGGCCUGAGAGGGUGACCGGCCACAUUGGGACUGAGAGACGGCCCAGACUCCUACGGGAGGCAGCAGUGGGGAAGAUUGCACAAUGGGCGGAAGCCUGAGGCAGCAACGCCGCGGGCGGGAUGACGGCCUUCGGGUUGUAAACCGCUUUCGCCUGUGACGAAGCGUGAGGGACGGUAAUGGGUAAAGAAGCACCGGCUAACUACGUG